rnacentral:rRNA from 1 species
UACAGAGGUCUCGAGCGUUAGGCGGAAUCACUGGGUUUAAAGCGUGUGUAGGCGGAUUGCUAAGUACCUUGUGAAAUCCCACGGCUUAACCGUGGAACUGCUUGGUAUACUGGCUGUCUUGAGCCACUUAGGGGCAACCGGAACAAACGGUGGAGCGGUGAAAUGCGUAGAUAUCGUUUGGAACGCCAAUGGUGAAAACAGGUUGCUGGGAGUGUGCUGACGCUGAGACACGAAAGCCAGGGGAGCAAACGGG